rnacentral:rRNA from 1 species
UACAGAGGUCCCGAGCGUUGUUCGGAUUCACUGGGCGUAAAGGGUGCGUAGGUGGCGAGGUAAGUCGGAUGUGAAAGCUCGGAGCUCAACUCCGAAAUGGCAUUGGAAACUACCUUGCUCGAGGGUUGGAGGGGGGACUGGAAUACUUGGUGUAGCAGUGAAAUGCGUAGAUAUCAAGUGGAACACCAGUGGCGAAGGCGAGUCCCUGGACAACUCCUGACACUGAGGCAACGGAAAGCUAGGGGAGCAAACAGG